UUGUAAUGAUGUUGAUCAAAUGUCUGACCUGAAAUGAGCAUGUAGAUGAGCUUUUAACACUGAAAAA